UAUUUGUUCGGGAUCUCCCGCCAUGUUAUCUCCUGAAAAUUAGUUCAGAAUAAAUGUUCCCUGCAAUGAUCUGACAUGAACGAUCAUUUGUGUCCAGCUAAAACGAGAAAGAAGGAAGGGUUUAGUGCUAACCGUUGUAGGUUAAAAACCAGUAAAGUUCUCUAUCAUUAAGAGGAAUAAAACCAGCUCUUUUGCCCACAUCCACGAACUGAUGAACUUCUUGCUUAAAUCCAUGGCCUUGAGGAAAAACUGCUAAACCUCGCACAGCUGACCGCCCUGAAUGGACAGGUUCUGCCAGUCCUAGCCAACGUGCCACCACCGAGUUCACCCCAUCACAGCCUAUCAGAACCUUAGAUUUGAUUGUAGUUCCAUCUUCCAAAUGUAUAACAACAAUGGAAGCACCGCCUUACUCUUCAUUUUCAAUGACAGCUAGCUUGGAAGAGAAUUGAAUUGAGUCAACCGGCAAUUCCUCUGCCAGUGCCUCUAACAGUGCUUUGCGGUGAAGUGUCCUAAUUCCUUGUCCAUCGCCCCUAUUUCACACAAGACAAGGCAUUAAUUCACACCCAGAACUACGUCAUAGGAAGCGAAUAUUGAUGAGAGUGAAGUUUUGUCGGCAUAAACAUUAAGGAAUCCGGUCUGUCCAUUAUACAUCAGUAUAACUUUAUUGAACCGACAAAAAAUUUCUUUUAUGAUUCCGACAGCCAUUCAUAGUACAGAUCCUUGCAUGAAAUUGUACUAAAAAAUUAAUCAAGAAAUUAUUUUAUUAAGGUUCAAAAAGUUUACCCAUUAUUGGCCACUCGGGCGUGGACUUGUUGAACAUCUCCAGCACUAACAUUGGUUACAUAUCCCCUAAAUCAUACAAGAGGAAAAGAGAAGUGCACAGGAAACUAAUCAAUCACCCAGAAGAUAUAUAAUAUUCAAAUUCAAGAAACGAUGGACAGACAUGAUCAAAAGAAUAGAAUUAGUGUAGAGGGACAACUUAUUACAUCGAUGAAGGAGCAUAAAUGGGGGUGAGCUUGUGAGAAACACCGAGAGCAUCAAGAGCAAGCCAAGCAUUUGGAAAUAGAGUCAAGGCUGCACCUGUGGCUCUUAGCCCUUCUGAUCUCUCUAACACCAGGGCUCGAACCCCUACUCUUUUCAAAGCCACUGCUGUUGCCAACCCUGCAAUUCCUGCUCCGACUAUCACCACAUCCUCCAUCAUUUCCAUCUCCCUCUCCCUCUGCGUGUAUGAGUGUUUCCUUCUACAGGGUGCGUCGUCUUGUUCUUAUUAUAACCCCAUGUGCUUGGACUCCAAGUCUGACCAUGACCCACUUGUAUACAUAGUAUCUUGCAAGUAAUUAAGAAUAUAUUGUUUUUCUUCAUGGUUAUCUAGCCAAUUUGCGAGUUAAUAAAACUAAAUCUCUUUUUUGAACUAUUUAAAUAAAUAAAUAAAAAUCUAGAGGCGGCUCUUUGGUUAUUUAUCGUAUCUUUUGGAGUUAAGUAGAUAAGAACGUUCGAGGAGAGUGAUAAAGAAUUGUUUAAGCCAUAACGUUAAGCAAUCAUUUCAUAUUUUAUUUUGAUAAAAUUUCAAAUAUAUGAUAUCAAAUUUUGAUAAAAUUUCAAAUAUAUGAUAUCAAAUUAAAUCAUAAUUAUUAAAUUUAGGCAACAUGAUUGCUUGAUUUUUUAAUUGCAUCAGAUAAAAUAUUGAUCUAAUUAUUAUUUUUUUCGGUCAAAUUCAAAUUAAACUAGAUAUAAAAUAAUUACAUGAUCAAACCGGAUUCAAAUUAAACUAGAUAUAAAAUAAUCACAUGAUCAAACUGGAUUCAAAUUAAUCAACCCAAUAUCUUGUAAGAAAAAACUACUGUUUUAAUAAAAAUAGAUGUUUUGAUGACUUAUAUACUGACGUAAUAAUCUAACAACCCAAGCAUUUUCCAAGAUUAUUACCUAAGCUGAGUUUGACACCUAAUUAAAAGUGAACAUGCAUGAUUGAAAUUCGUAUUUCUUACCACCAGGGUGAUUGAAACCAAAUUCAGUUAUUAUAGGAUCUAAAAAUUAAUUUUUUAAUCUAUUUUUUUACUUUUAAACACAUUUAAUAAACACCCUUAUAAUUUUAACAAACUAAAUUCUUAAUUCAAAUAGCUUUGAAUUAGUCCAAAAACACAAAAUUAAAGUAAAAAAAAUUAUUUAUCAACUCUAAUUUACUUUUUCUGAUAAAAAAAAACACCAUAAUAUAACUCUUUCCAUCAAAUAAAGCCUAUUAAAACAAAAAACAACUAGUUGUCAUUGAAAUAUGAACAACCAUCAAUUAUCUUUGUUAAAGAGAAAAAGAUGAAAACUAAUAAGUGGUGGAUCAAUGAUUUAAUGACAAAUAUAGCUUUUAAAAUAUUUUUCUUCUCUUAAAAACAUAAUUAUUAAACAUGGUCUGAACUCUGAAUUGACAAAUUGAUCUAAAAAAUUUAAAAAUCAAAGUUUGACACAAGAUAAAUUUUUAAUUGAAUCAGAUAAAAUACUAAUCUUCCAAUCCUCAUCCAACUUGAUAAGUUUAAUGUUUUAUAGAAGAAAAAUAAAAAUUGUUAUUUUAAUAAAAUAAUUAACCUAGUGACCUAUUGAUUGAUAUAAUAACCCAAUUAUUCACAUCAAUCUCUAGAUUGGUCCGAAAACUAUUCUUCAGUUAUUUUUCCAAGUUUUCAAUUUCUUUUUUUUUCUAUUACCCAAAUUUUCUUAGAUAAGAAAGCGAACCAUAAACACACAUAUAUAACAAUAAUGUGAGGCAAAUAAUAAUAUCAAAGCAAAACAACAUUGACAAUAACUUCGAAGAAGAAAAAGACAGAAGCAAAAGAAAAUUCGUAUUUCUUACCUUCCUCUUCACUAUGAUAUUAUUCUUACUUUGACUAAUUAAUAAGACUUUUAAAAUAAAAAAACGACAAAACCAACAAAGAAGAAAAAGACUAACGCUACCUUCAACUUCACUAUGAUAUUUUGAUAGCAGCAGCAAGAGGCUAACUAUGUUGAAAUUGAGGGCAAUGCUCUAAAGAUAACAAUUUGCAGAAUCACUUGUCAGCACUGAAAUUUAGUCCUUCUUACUGGACAGAUCCAUUGCACCAAAGGAAAUAGCAGGAAGUCUUCCGCAGUCAUAAACAAAUACUAGUCUAGAAAGCCAGCCGAAAAAAUACUUGUAAAGUGCUCUGUCCCUGAGAAAUUUUAUCCACCAUUUAUCUCCUUGCUGCAUCCGUCCUGAUAAAUACGAUGCUGUGACAACCAUAGCGGCACGCCACCUCCUUUCCUUCACAUAAUCAUCUAUGGCUUUAGCCAUGUCUCCUGGAACAAUCAGGGCUCCAUUGUUUAUAAAUGAAUUGCCAAUGUGUCUGCCCAAUACCACAGCAUCUUCUAGUGAUGCACCACCACCGUUUCCUAGAUCAGGAGUCAUGGGGUGCAUAGCAUCACCAGCUACUGUCACAUUUCCUUUGCUUAGCUUUCCAAAUAUGAUCCCCCAUGGAGGCCUAAACAUCAAUGGUGCCCAUGAUAAUGAGGAAAGAUCGGCAUGCCGCACCACGUCUAGGUAUUCUGAGGGAAAUUUUUCUGUACAUUUCUCAAGCACAUCCCUUUGCAUUUUCUCUGCCUCUCCUGACAUCUUUUCCCCUGAAAUCAAAAUUAGCUCACUAUAAAACUUUCCCUGAAAUGAUCUGAUCACAUGAACCAAUAUUUGUGUCUUGCUAAAAUGAGAGAGAAAUUAAAGGGAUGAAGAGUGCUAAGUGCUUGCCUUGGCUAGAAAAAAACCAGUAAAGUUCCCUAUCAUUAAGAGGAACAAAACCAGCCUUAUCGCUCUCAUCCAUGAAAAAAAGAAAUUCUUGUUUAAAUCCAUGGCCUUGAGGAAAAACUGCUAAACCCCGCACCGUUGAUCGACCUGAAUGGACCAGUUCUGCCAGUCCUAGCCAUCGUGCCACGAACGAGUGCACCCCAUCGCAGCCUAUCAGAACCUUAGAUUUGAUAGUAGUUCCAUCUUCCAAGUGUACAGCAGCCAUGGAAGCAUCACCUCCUUGUUCUAGACUUUGAAAAGCAACUAGCCUCGAAGAGAAUCGAAUUGAGUCAGUUGCCAAUUCCUCUGCCAGUGCCUCUAACAACACUUUACGGUGAAGAGUCCUAAUUCCUUGUCGAGGGUAGAGGACUUCUCGAACUUCUCCGGUACUAACAUUGGUUACGUAUCCCCUAAAUCGUGAGAAAAAGAAGUUCACGAGAAAUUAAUCUAUCAUCCAAAGUAUUAAAAUCCAAAUUCAAGAAUUUAUAAAUAAUCAAACAUAAUGAAAAGAAAAAAUUAACAUGGUGAAACAAUUUAUUACUUGGGUGAAGGAGUAUAAAGGGGGAUGAGCUUGUGAGAAACACCAAGAGCAUCAAGGGCAAGCCAGGCAUUUGGAGAUAGGGUCAACGCUGUACCAGUGGCUCUUAGCCCUUCUGAUCUCUCUAACACCAGGGCUCGAACCCCUACUCUUUUCAAAGCCACUGCUGUUGCCAAGCCUGCAAUUCCUGCUCCAACUAUCACCACAUCCUCCAUCAGUUCCAUUUCUUCUUCUUCUUCUUCUAUGUGUGUGUGUUGCCGAUUACAUUGGCUAUUUGACUUCAUGUUGUUCUAAUUUAUAGCCCAAUGGGCUUGGAUUCCAAGUCUGGCCAUGACCCACAUAGAUUUACGUACCAUGUCUGGCAAGAAUGUUGAUGGAGAAUACAUUGACGGCUGCUGCCUUUUGGACCCAAUGCAUGGCACAGUCUUGUACCGGCCCGCCUGGCAGGCUAAACCAGUAAGUAACCUGUCGAUAUGACCUCCUAACCCGAUGCCAUGUUUUAAAUUAAACCCGGGUUUUUUUUCAAAAUAAUAUUAUUUUAUUACUAUUAUUAUUGAAACAAAAUUAUUUUAGGUUUACUAAAGUGAACUUAGAUUAAUAUGUUGAAUUAGUAAUGCAAUAUUGAAUCAAGUUUAAUAAUGGUGACCUAAAGUCCUAAUGUUUUAAAUUCACCCCAUGAUGACUUUAACUUAAAAUUCCUGAGGCAAGGCAAGAUUCGAAUAUUAUUUUGAAAUUGGCAACCUCUAUCUCUACAAGUUGUAUGUACGUCUCAGACUAUCGCUUCUGUAGCUGGUGGUAGAUAGAAAUUUCUGCAGCAGGAAGAUGGCACACCAUGAGGCAACAGAUGAUUGCUUUCAGCAGAAAUCCCUUAGGCAAAUACCGUUUGACAAGUCAACAGAGUCUCUUUCUUUGAACCAAAUUCUUUUUGUCAAAUCUGAUAGACAAGCAGAAGAAACUUUGAAAAAUCUCUAGAAACCCUUGGAAGAUUUCUCUUUAAACUAAUCUUAGCUGUUAAUAGUUCAGGCUUUUAUUAAGAGAAGGCACAACAUUAAGAGGGUAUUCAAAACUUUUUGGUUAAGACCAUGAGAUCAUCGAGAGCUAUCAACAAAGGUAUAAUGAUUGUAACGUGUUUCUCAUUAUUUGUGAAAAAUAAUUUACAUUUUGAUAUGUAUAUGCACAACAUAAAAUUCAAAUCCUAUGUUGUUAGAAAAGAAAUCAGUCACCAUAUUUAUAUAUUUUGAUAACCACGUUAGUAAUUCGGCGUCGUCAGAACCUCCAAAAUAUAUUUCUAACUUUACUAUCACAAACAAAAUAAAUUCUUAGUAUAAUCAUGAUGUAACAUCCUCAAAUUAUAAUGUCAUAAAGUAUCAUAUUAGAAGGCUCUAUACAAAUUUUUCAGAAUUUUCUGAUAACCCGAUCAAGAAUUACAAAUUUUUUUGUUUUACAUGAAACUAGUCAAUUUAUGAUUUUUCGCCUAGAGAUUUUACACGUGAAAACCAGGUUAAACUCAAGGGAAAUUUCGUUUAAUAUUUCUAUAAUAUACUGAAAUGAAAAAGAACAAAGGAUUUGAAUAAAAAUUAAAAAAAAUAAAAUUCUGAAAAUAAAAUUAAUAAAUUGAUAUGUUGUUAACUCAGUUUAAAGGUUCUUACAUCCAUUUCUAUAAAUUUGUUGAUCAUCUAAGUAAAAUAAAUAUUCUUUUAUGUCAAGCAAAUAAAUUUGAUAUCCCUUAAAAUAGAGAGAAAUCGAUGAGAUUACGAGUACAUUAAUUAGACAAAGCUCUCUAAUCAAUUUCUUACCAUCAAACGAAUUUAAUAUUGAAAGCAAUUCUUAUUCACUCGGCAGUAGCCUUAGUAGUAAAGUUUGUGAAAUUAUUCUAAGCAAACUUUCAAAAGCUUGACAAUUUAACUUAAUUUAUUCUUUCCUAAUAAAUCAACAUGAGAAUUGCAACAAUCAAAUUAAUUCUUUUGCCUCUUAUUUUAGUCCCUAACAACAAUCACGGAUUGAAUGAAAUUAAAAAGCAUACAUGUCAUCUCAAAACAAUUCAAUAAGCUUGAAUAAUAGUCAAUAACAUAAUUCUGAAUAAGAAAAAAUAAAUAUUAAUUUUGAAAGAAUUUUGAAAGAAUUACAAUGAUAACAUUACUUCUCAUAACUUGUUAAUGGAGAUGGUGUGUAUUUCUCUUGAACUAAAAGCCAAAGUUUAGUUCAUAACUGCUAGAGAAUUGACAAAAACAGAGAAAAAAAGAAUGUUGCAAAGCCUCUGUUUCAGUCGUGUUCUGCUCUAUUUAUUCUCUCCCUUGGCUGUCGAAUUUCUUCAGAAUUCUUAGGUUAAUUAGAAGUCCUUAUGCUACUUAACUCCUUCCUUCUAUAUAUAGUCUCUAAGGUUGGUUAAAUCUCUCAGAAUUUGGUUGAAAAUAGACUCUGCUGCUGUCACAACUCUGCUGCAAUUCAAACUCUGCUGCAACUUAGACUUUGUUUCUAACAUGAUUUCUGGCAAUAUUCGACCAUUUCAGCUAUAUUCUUUCAUUCAUGGCAUGUUAGAGGCUUGAUUUACGCCUUUCUUAGGUCCUAAGGCCCACCUUUUCUAUGCCAGACUCUUAGCUGUAAUGUGAUGCUUGGCACUGUUAGUUUCCUUAUCAAAUUAGAAGACCAAUCUCAUCCUUCAGAUUGCGUCCAACAGUUUGUCUUCAAAACGAUUUUAUCUGACCUGAAAUCCUUCAUAAAAGUUGUAGCCCUAGAUGUGUAGAUGAUUUUGGGCUUUUGAAUCAUAUGAUUUUGAUGUUUGAGACUCAAAGAUAUACUUAUUUGAAUCUGUAAUGUGAAAGUAGAGGAUUUUGUUAUAAGUAAGAUUUCGGUUCGAUUUUGCGGGUCUGAUUAGAGGUCCAAUAGAAUUCAUAUUUCUACCCAUAAUACCUUUCUAGGAAGCUUGAUAUGUUUACUUUAACUUUUAUUUAGCCCAUGUUCACAUUAUAAAAUUAUAACUUAGUAAACAACUUGUCAUAAGAAGAAAAGUCUGAAACAUAAAAUAUAGAAAUUCUUAUAUUUUAGCAAUUAAUUUACAAAGUUUCCUAUACAUACUAAACUCAUAAAAAUAACUUUUAAUAAGCCCAGAUAAGUUCAAAAUACAUAAAAAUAUAAUAUAAAAAGAAUAAAAACAUAUGUAUAUUUUGCAUUUAUCAGUCAUAUUGUAAAAAAUAAUAAUUUAAAGUAAAGAAAUAUUAUUUAGUGCAUUUAGAUGAAUAAAUUAUUUUGAAUGGUGAUACCCAAAUUUGAAUUCAAAAAAUUAAAAUAAUUUCUCUUAAAUACCAACCUCACCAUUCAAUUUACAUAAAUGAUAUUUAUUAUAUACACACACAUUAGUUUAUGCAUGGAUUUCUCUCCUUACUGGGGUAAAAUGAAUGAGUUCUACAACAUCUUAUUUGCAUAUUUUUUGAAAAGUUGUUAAUUAAUGAUGCCAAACAUUUAAUUGGUGUUGAUAAUCACGAGAUUUCUUAAAUAACUUUCACACAUCUCAUUUGAGUAGACACCCAAAUUAGACUCCGAGUACGUGCUUUUUUUAUUUUAGAAUUUUGAUUUUUCAUGCCUUGUAAAGAUCAAUUUCUAAUCUAAAAAAUGAUUAGAUUAGAAAUAGGAAUUUCCCAUCUUCCAUUGUGUAAUGCAAGAGCCUUUGGAUCUCCUAGGAAAAGAACAAGAACACGGGUCUAAAUACAUUUUGUUAAUUUAUCUCUGCUUUGAUCGAGUCAAUAAAAAAUAUAGGCACCAAACUGAAAUCUGCACUAGCUCGAGUUAGAGUACGAUCAAGCCUACAAAGUACAAACACUCCAUAACAGUACCAAAAGAAACGGUUUUGAGUGAAUUUUUAUUUUUUCAGAACAUAAAUUAUAAAUUACAGAGCAUAAAGAGACAUGUUUUUCUUUUUUAUUUGUCUCGAGACACCAAAAAAUAUAUAAAAAGACUGGUUAACUAGAAAUUGUGAGCCAUUGUCUGAAACCACUCAUCUGCAGAAUCUAUAUGCCAAAAUUGAAUCUAGUCCUUCUUACUUGAGUGAUCCAUAUCAUCGAAGGACAUAGCAGGAAGUUUGCCACAAUCUUUAUGCACAAGUCCAGAAAUCCUGCCAAAAAGAUACUUGUAAAAUAUUCCAUCCCUUAAGAAUUUCAUCCACCAUUUAUCUCCACCGAGCUGCACCCAACCUGCUAAAUAUGAUCCUGUGACAAGAAAAGCAGCACGCCACCUCCUUUCCUUCACAUAAUCAUCUAUGGCUUUAGCCAUGUCUCCUGGAACAAUCAGCCCUCCAUUGUUUAUAACUGAAUUGCCAAUGUGUCUGCCCAAUACCACAGCAUCUUCUAGUGAUGAACCACCGCCUUGUCCUAGGUCAGGAGUCAUGGGGUGCAUAGCAUCACCAGCUACUGUCACAUGUCCUUUGCUUAGCUUUCCAAAUAUGAUGCCCCAUGGCUGCCUAAACAUCAACGGUGCCCAUGUUAAUGUUGAAAGAUCAGCAUGGCGGACCACGUCUAGGUAUGUUGAAGGAAACUUUUCUACAUGUUUCUCAAGUACAUGUUUCUGUAUUUGUUCGGGCUCUCCUGCCAUCUUAUCUCCUGAAUUGAAAAUUAGUUCAGAAUAAAUGUUCCCCGCAAUGAUCUGACAUGAACGAUCAUUUGUGUCCAGCUAAAACGAGAAAUAAGGAAGGGUUUAGUGCUAACCGCUGUAGGUUAAAAACCAGUAAAGUUCUCUGUCAUUAAGAGGAACAAAACCAGCUCUUUUGCCCACAUCCACGAACUGAUGAACUUCUUG
rnacentral:lncRNA from 1 species